rnacentral:rRNA from 1 species
GACGAACGCUGGCGGCGUGCUUAACACAUGCAAGUCGAACGGAAAGGCCCUGCUUUUGUGGGGUGCUCGAGUGGCGAACGGGUGAGUAACACGUGAGUAACCUGCCCUUGACUUUGGGAUAACUUCAGGAAACUGGGGCUAAUACCGGAUAGGAGCUCCUGCUGCAUGGUGGGGGUUGGAAAGUUUCGGCGGUUGGGGAUGGACUCGCGGCUUAUCAGCUUGUUGGUGGGGUAGUGGCUUACCAAGGCUUUGACGGGUAGCCGGCCUGAGAGGGUGACCGGCCACAUUGGGACGGAGAUACGGCCCAGACUCCAACGGGAGGCAGCGGUGGGGAAUAUUGCACAAGGGGCGGAAGCCUGAUGCAGCAACGCCGCGUGCGGGAUGACGGCCUUCGGGUUGUAAACCGCUUUCGCCUGUGACGAAGCGUGAGUGACGGUAAUGGGUAAAGAAGCACCGGCUAACUACGUG